GCGCUCACUACGUCUUGUGUAUGAUUGAGUGCAGUGAUGCAGAUUUACUUUGAAGAUACGCUCUUGUAGAGCUCGUGAUUUUUUUAGCUGUUUAGUUUUUUUUUAUUAUUUGUUUAAUAAGCAAUGAAUUUCUCUUCUAGUCGUGUUGUUGUUUAUGUCUAUUCUCUAUGUAUUUAUCGAAACCGUUCGUGCAACUGAAAUGUGUCUGUGAAUGUGCGAUUUAUUUGACAGUAACGAAAAAACUAGACGCCUCUAUCCCCAACAAAGGCUACGGGUAAAUAAACCGGCGGACAAAGACGUCCGUCUGCGCGCGACAUCUGAGCGACGUGUGUCGACCCCCCUCGCCCUCCGGGCCUCUACCCCGCCGGCCCCCCGCCCGAUAAUGAUGUUAACUCGCCAGGACCUGCUUUGUCUCGAUUUUGACCGUUAAGGAUCUUGGUUAAUAAUGUUUAUUCUUCGAAAUUUGAAAUUUUUUCGUCGUUUGAAAAGUUUCACAAGAUUUUGAUUUGGAAAAUUUGCUGAACGUUUUAUAGACUUUUAAUAUUAUACUUAUUAUGCACGUCAAAUUCAUAUCCUUAAUAUGCGACAAACCAAAUAGGUAUAAGAUUGUGCAUGGAAUGUUUUUGUUUUAUUUUGGUUAUUUCUAAUAGUGGUACCUAUUAGGAAAUAAAAAUAUAAUGAUAUAAGUAAAA